GGCAGAAAUCAGAAGUAGGGCCGCUGGUGUACCAGAAUUCCCAAUAGGUCAAAUGAUUUGUGUACAUUUCCUACCGUUUUUCCAGGGCCAAAAGCUGCAAAAGUGGUCGAGGAUCAAACGUAGAGCGCCAGGAAGUUACCUUGUAGUAGUCAUAGAGCAGGCCCAGAGCGUUGGCGCUGUCCUCAUCGCCGUUGAUGCUCAUCAUGGCCUUGGUGGCGGCCGUCAGCGGGUUCUCCAGGUACGACCUCCACGCUUCAUCCUCGCUGGUGUAGGCCCGCCGCACCGCCGGGAAGGAGCUCUCGUUGGGGACCACCACCACCAGACGCUUGCUGGCAGACGCACACAACCGCAAAUUUCACAUCUGUCAUUUUGGUGUAGUGUCGAACGUGAGCGAGUACAGGCCGCACGUUUCAUCAACUACUGCUGGCGCUACACUGGAGAUGGCGGAUGUCAGACCGCUUGCCUGCACCUUGUCCUCCUGGGGGUCUGUUUGGGAUGCCACGUGGCCUGGCUUCCCCUCCGCAAUCAAUAGGUAUGAGAUCCUCUUGGUAUAAUAAAUGCAAAACCACCGUUUGAUGGUUUCACUGCAUUACAGGUACAGCACCGACCCAUGCUUACUUCGCAAUGUCACAUUAUGCAGCAUGUAGGAAUUCAUGUUCAGCCUCAGUGAACCGCAGCUACCCUAGAGCCGGCGGCACUCAUGCACUCUACCCCCACCAUGCUUGACGUCGGAGCAGGUGAUAAGAGGGAGCGAGUUGCCAGAAGUUGGUGUACAGGCAGAGAAGCGAAGGUGAGGUCGCUCCCGAUUGGCUGCCGGCUCAGGCGAGGCAGUGUGCCACGGAGUUGGGGCCACUGGAUGGAUCCAAGCUUGGAAGGAAGAAGAUGCUUUAAAGAGGAGGGAGAAGCAGCUUGUCCAGACUUGGCCCGGGUUGAGAGCUCCAGGAACUAUGAACGAGUGUAGACAGAUAUUCACUCAUCGGACCCCAUGCAUUCUUCUUGAUGGAACCUGCCCCGGCUGACUCAAGGUGACAGUCUGGGCACACCCUGGACUGGUCACCUGUCAAUCAAAAGCCGGCACAUAAACAUGAGUAUUUAAGACUUAAAUUUCACGCCUAGCUUUCAGAGAACCUAACGUAUGGUAUCCAAAGCAUACCACAUCAAAAAUGGUGGAAAGCAGCCCUCACUGGGCCUAGCAUCUUGUAAAAGUGGUGUCAUUGUGGUGUCAUUAGGCCUAUUUUAGGGGGUCAAAGCCCCCCUAAAUAAUUUGAUAUUUUUUAAUAGAGUUUUUAAUAUUUGUUAUAGAUUUUUUUUUUACAAAAAAAAUAUCUGACGAAUUUCAUAUAAUAGGGCAAAACCAUGCUAAUAAGCAAGCCAAUAAGCAGGCUAAUACUAGCCUACCUAGUAGUAGUAAUCAGAAGAAGAAUAAUGAUGAUAGUAAUAAUAAUAGGCUAAUUAAUAAUAUAAUAAUGAUUAUUAUAUAAUUGAUCACUGUCCACUGGAUAGAAUGGUUGCAGAGCUUGAGCAGCGGUUUUGUAGUGUAGAUUGUGUGUACUUUGUAGUACUUGUAAAUUUAAUGGUGGCCUAAAACAAUUGAGUACCUCUACUAAAUCUCUCCAAAAGUGGGAAAGUUAUAUCUCGGUUCUUGUUUGUUAUUUAUUUUUUGGAUGUUUUGAUUUUUUUGAAUGUCUACUAUAUUUAUUCAUAUCCUGUGCAUCCCCCCCCCCAUCCUCAGAACCUAGUGACCCCCUGCUGAAGACAAUUUAGACUCAGAAUGUACAGUAUGUGUUAAAAUGGGCAUUUUGUGAAUGGAGUUUUGAAUGAUGCAUCGUGGGUUGCGUGAACCUGUGGUGUUUUUUUUCACAGUUGGUAUGGGGCCAGAACGCAUGCAUUAAGAGCUCAUGUAAGCACCUGUCCCCAGAAAAACCCCAUAGGUCAUGUGACCAGGGGCACCACCACCACCACCACCACCACCGGCAGCAGCAUGCGGUUGUGUUGUGACUUCGUUGUCAGGGCUUGUUUGCGGCCCGACUGGUCUGGCAACAUUGUGGCUUGUCACUGCAUGGCGGCGGAGGCGGCCAACUGUGGCAAAACCAGUCGGUUUGGAGAAAAGGGAAAGCGAGGGGGCGGGAUGGCGGAGAGGAAGUGACAGAGGAGGAAGGUGAGAGGCAGCUUCCUCUUGCAGCAGCAUAUGAGGUCACAGCAGUCUUGUUCAGGCGCCCUUCUGGGAAUGGAUGGCAGCUUUGUGAGAUUUGUGCCCCCCUCAAAGAUGCAUUCCAAACAAACAAGCCGUCAUAAAAAGCUAUGAAUGUAAAAAAAAAAAACAAAGAUGUCAGGCAAUCCUCUCUGCUUAUCCCCCGACACAAUGAGCAUCAGGAAGAUAAUAUUCCCCCCUGCUAUCCAAUAACUGACACCUGGAAGAUUUCCUUUCACACAAAAGUCUCCCGAGGCCCCACAACCCAAACCCCACCUGA